rnacentral:rRNA from 1 species
GUACACUGAAUCCAUAGGUGUGCGUGGGGAACCGCCUGAACUGAAACAUCUAAGUAGGGCGAGGAAAAGAAAUCAACCGAGAUUCCGCAAGUAGUGGCGAGCGAACGCGGAAGAGGCCAAACCGGCUGUAGAAAUAUGGCCGGGGUAAGGACAGCAAAAUGUAUGUUGGACCCUAGCAGAAGGGCAUGGGACGGUCCACCACAGAGAGUGAUAGUCUCGUAUGCGAAAGGGAAAAACAGCAAGCUGUAUCCGGAGUACCACUGGACACGUGAAACCCGGUGGGAAUGUGGGGGGACCACCCUCCAAGCCUAAAUACUCCCUGGUGACCGAUAGUGAAGAGUACUGUGAAGGAAAGGUGAAAAGAACCCCGGGAGGGGAGUGAAAAGAACCUGAAACCUUGUGCUUACAAGCACACAGAGCACGUCAAGGUGUGAUGUGGUACCUUUUGUAGAAUGGUCCGGCGAGUGAAUGUAACGAGCAAGGUUAAGCACUUUAGGUGUGGAGCCGAAGCGAAAGCAAGUCUGAAAAGGGCGAGAAGUUCGUUGUAUUCGACCCGAAACCGGGUGACCUAGCCAUGUCCAGGCUGAAGUGAAGGUAAAACUUCAUGGAGGGCCGAACCCACUCCCGUUGAAAUGGUAGGGGAUGAGGUGUGGCUAGCGGAGAAAUUCCAAUCGAACCCGGAGAUAGCUGGUUCUCUCCGAAAUAGCUUUAGGGCUAGCCUCGACUGAACAUUACCGGAGGUAAAGCACUGAAUGGGCUAGGGGCCGAGAGGUUACUGAACCCUAUCAAACUAAGAAUGCCGGAUAAUGAUAGUCGGGAGUCAGACAGUGUGAGAUAAGUUUCAUUGUCGAAAGGGAAACAGCCCAGACCCACAGCUAAGGUCCCAAAGUAUCGUUAAGUGGAAAAGGAUGUGGAACUGCCCAGACAACCAGGAUGUUGGCUCAGAAGCAGCCAUACAUUCAAAGAGUGCGUAAUAGCUCACUGGUCGAGUGGUUCUGCGCCGAAAAUUUAACGGGGCUAAACGAUACACCGAAGCUUGGGAUGCAGCAUUGGCUGCAUGGUAGGAGAGCGUUCUGUACGGGGUGAAGUCAUAGCGGAAGCGGUGGUGGACUGUACAGAAGAGAGAAUGCCGGAAUGAGUAGCGAGAUUUAUGUGAGAAUCAUAAAGGCCGAAAGACUAAGGAUUUAGAAGGAAGGUUCGUCCGCUUCUAGUUAGCCGGGAGCUAAGGCGAGGCCGAAAGGCGUAGUCGAUGCACAUACGGUGGAGAUUCCGUAGCCGCCUCUUAAUUUAAGCAAAGGGACACUUUCAAAGGGAAUGACCCGGGCGUUGGUAGCCCCGGGCGAAAGGGACCGAAAUUAGAGUAGGGAAGCAUUUCUGGAGGAAGGCGAGAAAAGCUUUGCGGAUAGAGAGAGGCGCCCGUACCGCAAACCGACACAGGUAGUCAGGAAGAGGAUUCUAAGGCCAACGGGAGAAGGGUAGUUAAGGAACUCGGCAAAUUGACCCCGUAACUUCGGAAUAAGGGGUGCUCCUGAAAAGGAGCCGCAGUGAAUAGGCCCAGGCGACUGUUUAUCAAAAACACAGCUCUCUGCUAAAUCGAAAGAUGAAGUAUAGGGGGUGACACCUGCCCGGUGCUGGAAGGUUAAGAGGAAGGGUGCAAGCUCUGAAUUGAAGCCCCAGUAAACGGCGGCCGUAACUAUAACGGUCCUAAGGUAGCGAAAUUCCUUGUCGGGUAAGUUCCGACCCGCACGAAUGGUGUAACGAUCUGGGCACUGUCUCAACUACCCACCCGGCGAAAUUGUAGUACCGGUGAAGAUGCCGGUUACCUGCGGCAAGACGGAAAGACCCCAUGGAGCUUUACUGUAGCCUGAUAUUGGGUUUCGGUAUUCUAUGUACAGGAUAGGCGGGAGACUGGGAACCGAUGGCGUCAGCUGUCGGGGAGUCACCCUUGGGAUACCGCUCUUAGAGUACUGGAAUUCUAACCUGCGGCCGUGAAUCCGGCCGGGGGACAUUGUCAGGUGGGCAGUUUGACUGGGGCGGUCGCCUCCAAAAGAGUAACGGAGGCGCUCAAAGGUUGGCUCAGCACGGACGGAAAUCGUGCAAUGAGUGUAAACGUAUAAGCCAGCCUAACUGCGAGACCGACGGGUCGAGCAGUAACGAAAGUUGGAGUUAGUGAUCCGGCGGUAUGUGAGUGGAAAUGCCGUCGCUCAACGGAUAAAAGCUACCCUGGGGAUAACAGGCUGAUCU